rnacentral:rRNA from 1 species
AAAUUAAAACUUUCAACAACGGAUCUCUUGGUUCCCGCAUCGAUGAAGAACGCAGCGAAACGCGAUAGUUAAUGUGAAUUGCAGAAUUCAGUGAAUCAUCGAGUCUUUGAACGCACAUUGCGCCCAUUGGUAUUCCUUUGGGCAUGUCUGUUUGAG